UGAGGAAUAUUGGGCAAUGCCCGCAAGGGUGACCCAGCAACGCCGCGUGGAGGAUGAAUGUCGUAAGAUUGUAAACUCCUGUUAGAGGGGAAGAAUAGUACCGGUUGGGCCGGUAUAUGACUGUACCCUCAGAGAAAGCCCCGGCUAACUACGUGCCAGCAGCCGCGGUAAUACGUAGGGGGCAAGCGUUGUCCGGAUUUACUGGGUGUAAAGGGCGCGCAGGCGGGAUAAAAAGUCAGUGGUGAAAUCCUACAGCUUAACUGUAGAACUACCUUUGAUACUUUUAUUCUUGAGUUCGGGAGAGAGAGACGGAAUUCCAGGUGUAGUGGUGAAAUACGUAGAUAUCUGGAAGAACACCAGUUGCGAAGGCGGUCUCUUGGUCCGACACUGACGCUGAGGCGCGAAAGCGUGGGGAGCAAAC
rnacentral:rRNA from 1 species